rnacentral:rRNA from 1 species
GACGAACGCUGGCGGCGUGCUUAACACAUGCAAGUCGAACGGAAAGGCCCUGCUUUUGUGGGGUGCUCGAGUGGCGAACGGGUGAGUAACACGUGAGUAACCUGCCCUGGACUUUGGGAUAACUUCAGGAAACUGGGGCUAAUACCGGAUAGGAGCUCCUGCUGCAUGGUGGGGGUUGGAAAGUUUCGGCGGUUGGGGAUGGACUCGCGGCUUAUCAGCUUGUUGGUGGGGUAGUGGCUUACCAAGGCUUUGACGGGUAGCCGGCCUGAGAGGGUGACCGGCCACAUUGGGACUGAGAUACGGCCCAGACUCCUACGGGAGGCAGCAGUGGGGAAUAUUGCACAAUGGGCGGAAGCCUGAUGCAGCAACGCCGCGUGCGGGAUGACGGCCUUCGGGUGGUAAACCGCUUUCGCCUGUGACGAAGCGUGAGUGACGGUAAUGGGUAAAGAAACACCGGCUAACUACGU